rnacentral:rRNA from 1 species
GAUGAACGCUGGUGGCGUGCCUAAUACAUGCAAGUCGAGCGAACGGACGAGAAGCUUGCUUCUCUGAUGUUAGCGGCGGACGGGUGAGUAACACGUGGAUAACCUACCUAUAAGACUGGGAUAACUUCGGGAAACCGGAGCUAAUACCGGAUAAUAUUUUGAACCGCAUGGUUCAAAAGUGAAAGACGGUCUUGCUGUCACUUAUAGAUGGAUCCGCGCUGCAUUAGCUAGUUGGUAAGGUAACGGCUUACCAAGGCAACGAUGCAUAGCCGACCUGAGAGGGGAUCGGCCACACUGGAACUGAGACACGGUCCAGACUCCUACGGGAGGCAGCAGUAGGGAAUCUUCCGCAAUGGGCGAAAGCCUGACGGAGCAACGCCGCGUGAGUGAUGAAGGUCUUCGGAUCGUAAAACUCUGUUAUUAGGGAAGAACAUAUGUGUAAGUAACUGUGCACAUCUUGACGGUACCUAAUCAGAAAGCCACGGCUAACUACGUG